GCCAACUCUUCCGCGCAAAAAGCGCACAAAACCACCUCAUCAAUCUGCAAUCAAAUUCUCCAACAUAACUACCUCGACCCCUGGAGAGUCCACCAUCCCCUAGAGAGAGACUACACCUUUCACUCCUUAGCACACAACACAUACACUAGAAUUGAUAGAUUCUUAAUCCCAGCUACACUACUGCAGGCAGUCCACACAACAAAUAUAGGUCUUG